rnacentral:rRNA from 1 species
UACGAGUGCCCCAAGCGUUAUCCGGAAUCAUUGGGCGUAAAGGGUGUGUAGGUGGCGAUGUUAGUCUUCUGUCAAAUUCUUCGGCUCAACCGGGGUACUGCAGAGGAAACGGCAUCGCUCGAGGAUGCGAGGGGUGAAUGGAACUCAUGGAGUAGGGGUGAAAUCCGUUGAUAUCAUGGGGAACACCAAAAGCGAAGGCAAUUCACUGGCGCAUUCCUGACACUGAAACACGAAAGCGUGGGUAGCGAACUGG